UGAAAUGGUCCGGGCUAAAGAAAAGCUCUGAUUAAAUGGGGCUCAGAGCCCCGUCUGGCAAACAGCUGUGCUGAUAAAGUGCAGAGCACCUGGCACUGCAGCACGGGGAAGAAGAACAAGAACAUGAGCAGGAGGAGGAGGAGGAGGAGGAGGAGGAGGAGAAGAAGAAGAAAAAAGAGAAGGAAGAGAAGGAAGAGGAGGAGCAAGAGGAGGAGCAGGAAUUAAUAGCUGAAGCUGGGUGGGAUGGGAAUUCCCAAACUAGCAGCAUCGCUGUGUCUUUCUCCUGACAGUCCACAGCCAGAGCCUGAAGGAUGAAGGCACCUUGAAAAACAGUGGGAUAACAAGUUUGUAAUCCUUUUCAUGAAAUAAAGAAAUUGUUUCAUGGCAUCACAGGAAUAGGACUCUAUGAGGAUCUCCAUUGAAGUCACAGUUGUUUUUUUAAUUGGAGAGCUCUGCUCCAACCUCCUACCCCUCCAACACAGAUGUUGUACUCCAAAGGACAAAGGAUCUGUCAGAGACCUCCCUGAAUCUACCCAACCAGCCUUCCCAAGCCAGAAAUUGCAACUGAUUUUAGGAAGAGGAAUUUUACACUUGGUGCAUAUACACUUGUGCAUACACAUACAGAGAUCCAUACACUACGUGGUGAUUGUUACCUCUGCUGGUUUGGUCUUCAAAGUCCUCCACUGAGCAAAGCGACAAGAAUGUCCUCCAUGAAAAGAUGACUUUUUAAAAUAUUGAAGAAGCAAGUUUGCUUUGC
rnacentral:lncRNA from 1 species